rnacentral:rRNA from 1 species
UACGUAGGGUGCGAGCGUUAAUCGGAAUUACUGGGCGUAAAGUGUGCGCAGGCGGCCUCGCAAGUCGAGUGUGAAAUCCCCGGGCUUAACUUGGGAAUUGCGCUCGAAACUACUUGGCUUGAGUGUGGCAGAGGGAGGUGGAAUUCCACGUGUAGCGGUGAAAUGCGCAGAUAUCAGGAGGAACACCGGUUGCGCAGGCGGGUCUCUGGGCAGUAACUGACGCUGAGAAGCGAAAGCGUGGGGAUCGAACAGG